GGGCGGAUGGUUUAGUGGUAUAAUUCUCCCUUAGCAUGAUCAGUCCGACUGACGGCAACGAUUGGGAGAGGUCCGGGGUUCGAUUCCCCGUUCGUCCA